UCUGGUGAUGAUUACGAGAAGGUCACACCCGUUCCCAUCCCGAACACGGCAGUUAAGCUUCUUAGUGCCGACGAUACUUAGACGGUUGCGUCUUGGUAAAAUAGGUAGUCGCCAGAUU
rnacentral:rRNA from 1 species